rnacentral:rRNA from 1 species
GAUGAACGCUAGCGGCAGGCCUAACACAUGCAAGUCGAGGGGUAACAGAGAGAAGCUUGCUUCUCUGCUGACGACCGGCGAACGGGUGCGUAACACGUAUGCAACCUACCCUUAACAGGGGGAUAGCCCAGAGAAAUCUGGAUUAAUACCCCAUAAUAUUGCAAAUUCGCAUGUUUUUGCAAUUAAAACUCCGGUGGUUAAGGAUGGGCAUGCGGGACAUUAGUUAGUUGGUGAGGUAACGGCUCACCAAGACCGCGAUGUCUAGGGGUUCUGAGAGGAAGAUCCCCCACACUGGUACUGAGACACGGACCAGACUCCUACGGGAGGCAGCAGUGAGGAAUAUUGCGCAAUGGACGAAAGUCUGACGCAGCCAUGCCGCGUGAAGGAAGAAUGCCCUAUGGGUUGUAAACUUCUUUUAUAUACCAAGAAACCCAAGUACGUGUACUUGGCUGACGGUAGUAUAUGAAUAAGCACCGGCUAACUCCG